CAUAUGGUAUUGGCCCUCGAAUUCUGACACAUCUCUAAGGAAAUCUGUCUCAAAGUCUGAUGAUUGAACAAUAGGGCAGCAUGUUAUAACAGCAUGUUUUAUGAGCUGUAUAUGUAUUUUAGAAAUGAAAAAAAGGAGCUGAGGAAAGUCAGAAGCCUAAGUCUGAAAAGAUGUAGAGCUUCCUCUUCCAAGACGACUUAUGUCAGCUACAACAAUCAUGCAAACUGAGUGGGGAAACCAAACAUACCUGAAAACUUGCAGUAUGUGAACUUUAAAAAACAAAACCAACAAUGACUAUAACAUCUUGAGAACUCAGCCUCUGAGAUGUCUCUAGAAAACAGUCAAAACUGUAAAAGGACAAAGAUUAACUAUGCGCCCAAAGCAGGAGGGGCAGGUGGGUUCGAAGAGAAAUGACCCAGAAUUAUAUUAUAUGACUGCGUGUCAAAUGUCAGAACUGUUUACUCAUGAAAGAAGGUGAAUCACAAAAGGAAAACAAAAUGUUAGCUUGUGAAAAAAAUGCUGUUGAAAUAAAAACCAUGUCUGAUGUUAUACUUGUAAGUACUUUUUUGUGAUUGUGAGAAUUUCCAUUCCUGUUCCACACUUGUUCAAAUUGUAUAAGAAGAUGAAGUUUGUUUCUUGUGAUGGCUGACUGAUUUGAAGCCCUGCGUUGUGCUAAUGAUAAAUGCAAUGGUUGACGCAUGCACAUUUUUAUACAAAAUAAUUUAUUUCUAUUAAUAAAGGAAUGUUUUGCAAAUGUUGAGACUUGUUUCGUUGCCAUUUUGGAGAUGUGUUCAAAUGCCUGGCAUAAUUGAGAUCUGCUUAGAGCAAUAAGGAAAAAGAUCUUCAACACAUAAACUGUAAUCAUGAAUUGGGAGACUCGAACUCCAAGUACCUGCGUAUGCUUCCCAUUCAUGGACAAUAUCAAAUGAUGUCAUUUAGCUAAUACAAAUGGCAUUGUGCUUGUGGACAUCUACUUUGAGGGUUAUGCUGAUUUUCUUCCUCCAGCAGAAGAUCAAUUUCUUUAUUUUACAAUGCUUGUUCAAGGGCUUCUGAUGAUAAUCUCUAAAAUUAGAAGUGCUUUAAAAAUAUCUGAUGCAUUUGGAUUGGCAAAUGAAUAAUCUAUAUUAUUAUUCAAUAGUCGGCUGAGAUCUUUUGGCACGGCAUUCAAUGUGCCAAUCACCACCGGGACCACCUGCACUGGUUUCUGCCAGAGUCUUUGCAGUUCAAUCUUGAGGUCCUGAGUU
rnacentral:lncRNA from 1 species